rnacentral:rRNA from 1 species
UACGUAGGGUGCAAGCGUUAAUCGGAAUUACUGGGCGUAAAGCGUGCGCAGGCGGUGAUGUAAGACAGUUGUGAAAUCCCCGGGCUUAACCUGGGAAUUGCAUUUGUGACUGCACGGCUAGAGUUUGGCAGAGGGGGGUAGAAUUCCACGUGUAGCAGUGAAAUGCGUAGAUAUGUGGAGGAAUACCGAUGGCGAAGGCAGCCCCCUGGGUCAAGACUGACGCUCAUGCACGAAAGCGUGGGGAGCAAACAGG